AUGUGUUUGUGUUUUCUCUUAUGUCACUCUUUCAGCACAUAUAUUUUUGGUGUGAUUGCAUUAAAAAGAGAGUAAGAGAAUAAAGAACAAUCAUUUAUGUUUUAAUUGAGUGUGAUAAAAUAAUCUGAGAUACUUGUUUAAGAACAUGUACAUUGACUAGUUAGAGUGAUAGGGAUUUUAAGCUGGUGGGGAUAUCAGGGAACAUGUCCAAACCCUUCAUUUUGUAUGUGUAGAAACAGGGCUCAUAAAGGUUAAGUGAAUCCCCUAGUUGAUUUGUGGUGAAGUUAGGCCUGGGCCCAAAUUUUAACACAGAAACAUGAUGGAAAUCCUAGAUUCCUUACUUUACUUAUGGUCAAAGGUCAAGUCCUGUCAAAUCUACUUUACAGCUACUCUUAAACUCACUUUCUCUACAUACUUACCAUUGCCCUGGUUUAAGCUUUUACCAUCUGAUGUUUGAACUACUUCAUUAGCCUAUUUCCUCAGCCUUAUUUCCUUAUUCUGCUUCUGCACUGUGGCUAGACUGAUCUUUGUAAAAAGCAUGCAAAGCUCAUGUUUAUUCCCAGCUUACUCUUUAGAUCAAAUUCCUUAGAAUGGACAUUAGAAAAGCUGCUGUAUGAAUUGAAACAAUGUACCUUUUCAUCUCUUUGCCAUUCUGUCACAUGGAAGCUUUACUCCUAACAUAUGCAGUUUGUACUAUUUUAAUUUCCUGAACAGUGCUUAGGUUGUUUUUUUUCCUCCUUGUUAUGUACGUGGCUCAGUAACUUUCCCCAUUGUAUUAUUCUGAGGAAAUCUUUGAAGAAGAUUUCUUCAUCUUUGAAGAAAUAGCUUAGGCUUCAUUUAUGUCCUGUUAUUCCUUGGUAAUCUUAGUAGAUAGUGUUCCAUUAGAUUAUCACCCAUUCCAUACUUUUUAGAGUACCUUAUAAUUAUUUAAGAAUUGUUUACACCAGUCCUUUCCUUGAUGGAAAUAAUAUUCUGGGCUUUUAAUCUUAGUUUAUCAAAAUACUCAUUGUAGACAUAGCUAUCUCCUCUGUGGAUUUUGAAGGAAAAACAUAAUCAUAUUAGUCUAUCUUUUAUGCACAAUGAAACUUUGUCGGUACGUUUUAUGUGCUUCAAGUAAAAAUCCUUUUGAAAAUAAAGAGGUUAAGAUUGAGAGUGGCAGUUAGUAAAAUCCAUCAUGUACUAGACAUGUAUCUCUAUUAGAGUUUUAAAUUAUUAUAGAAGGUUGACUUUCCACUAUUUUAUCAUAGGAGUUUUAAGAUUUUCACAGCAUAGAUAGAAACUAGAAUGGGGGU